CGAAAUAUUACUGAAAAAAAAGAAUAUUAUAUCCGUCGAGUUAUUAAAAAACAUCGUUGUAUGCGUUUCGCGCAGAACGUCGCGUACUUACGAUAAAUCACACUAUUACCCAACGGUAAACUUACCGCGUACAGUCGCCGCGACAGAAAAACCAAACGAUCGCGGACAUCUGUAUAAUACAUGUUUAACGUGUAAAAUACAUUCGAGGGAUGCGAGUUCGAACG